AUUGAACGCUGGCGGCAGGCCUAACACAUGCAAGUCGAGCGGAUGCAGGGAGCUUGCUCCUGGAUCCAGCGGCGGACGGGUGAGUAAUGCCUAGGAAUCUGCCUGGUAGUGGGGGAUAACGUCCGGAAACGGGCGCUAAUACCGCAUACGUCCUGAGGGAGAAAGUGGGGGAUCUUCGGACCUCACGCUAUCAGAUGAGCCUAGGUCGGAUUAGCUAGUUGGUGGGGUAAAGGCCUACCAAGGCGACGAUCCGUAACUGGUCUGAGAGGAUGAUCAGUCACACUGGAACUGAGACACGGUCCAGACUCCUACGGGAGGCAGCAGUGGGGAAUAUUGGACAAUGGGCGAAAGCCUGAUCCAGCCAUGCCGCGUGUGUGAAGAAGGUCUUCGGAUUGUAAAGCACUUUAAGUUGGGAGGAAGGGCAGUAAGUUAAUACCUUGCUGUUUUGACGUUACCAACAGAAUAAGCACCGGCUAACUUCGUG
rnacentral:rRNA from 1 species